GAGUGGCGAACGGGUGAGUAAUGUAUCGGAACGUGCCUAGUAGCGGGGGAUAACUACUCGAAAGAGUGGCUAAUACCGCAUACGCCCUACGGGGGAAAGGGGGGGAUCGCAAGACCUCUCACUAUUAGAGCGGCCGAUAUCGGAUUAGCUAGUUGGUGAGGUAAAGGCUCACCAAGGCGACGAUCCGUAGCUGGUUUGAGAGGACGACCAGCCACACUGGGACUGAGACACGGCCCAGACUCCUACGGGAGGCAGCAGUGGGGAAUUUUGGACAAUGGGGGCAACCCUGAUCCAGCCAUUCCGCGUGUGCGAUGAAGGCCUUCGGGUUGUAAAGCACUUUUGGCAGGAAAGAAAUCGCACCGAUUAAUACUUGGUGUGGAUGACGGUACCUGCAGAAUAAGCACCGGCUAACUACGUGCCAGCAGCCGCGGUAAUACGUAGGGUGCAAGCGUUAAUCGGAAUUACUGGGCGUAAAGCGUGCGCAGGUGGUUCGUUAAGACAGUUGUGAAAUCCCCGGGCUUAACCUGGGAACUGCAAUUGUGACUGGCGGACUAGAGUUUGGCAGAGGGGGGUGGAAUUCCUGGUGUAGCAGUGAAAUGCGUAGAUAUCAGGAGGAACACCGAUGGCGAAGGCAGCCCCCUGGGCCAUGACUGACACUCA
rnacentral:rRNA from 1 species